rnacentral:rRNA from 1 species
CAGCCGCCGCGGUAAUACGUAGGGGGCAAGCGUUGUCCGGAAUUAUUGGGCGUAAAGCGCGCGCAGGCGGUUCUUUAAGUCUGGUGUAUAAGUGCGGGGCUCAACCCCGUGAGGCACUGGAAACUGGGGAACUUGAGUGCAGAAGAGGAGAGCGGAAUUCCACGUGCAGCGGUGAAAUUCGUAGAUAUUGGGAAGAACACCGGUGGCGAAGGCGGCAACCUGGUCCUUGACUGACGCUGAGGCGCGAAAGCGUGGGGAGCAAACAGGAUUAGAUACCCGCGUAGUCCCUGUCUCUUAUACA